rnacentral:rRNA from 1 species
GACGAACGCUGGCGGCGUGCUUAACACAUGCAAGUCGAACGGAAAGGCCCUGCUUUUGUGGGGUUCUCGAGUGGCGAACGGGUGAGUAACACGUGAGUAACCUGCCCUUGACUUUGGGAUAACUUCAGGAAACUGGGGCUAAUACCGGAUAGGAGCUCCUGCUGCAUGGUGUUGGUUGGAAAGUUUCGGCGGUUGGGGAUGGACUCGCGGCUUAUCAGCUUGUUUGUGGGGUAGUGGCUUACCAAGGCUUUGACGGGUAGCCGGCCUGAGAGGGUUACCGGCGACAUUGGGACUGAGAUACGGCCCAGACUCCUACGGGAGGCAGCAGUGGAGAGUAUUACACAAUGGGCGGAAGCCUGAUGCAGCAACGCCGCGUGCGGGAUGACGGCCUUCGGGUUGUAAACCGCUUUCGCCUGUGACGAAGCGUGAGUGACGGUAAUGGGUAAAGAAGCAACGGCUAACUACGUG